rnacentral:rRNA from 1 species
AGCGAACGCUGGCGGCAGGCUUAACACAUGCAAGUCGAGCGGGCAUAGCAAUAUGUCAGCGGCAGACGGGUGAGUAACGCGUGGGAACGUACCUUUUGGUUCGGAACAACUGAGGGAAACUUCAGCUAAUACCGGAUAAGCCCUCACGGGGAAAGAUUUAUCGCCGAAAGAUCGGUCCGCGUCUGAUUAGCUAGUUGGUGAGGUAAUGGCUCACCAAGGCGACGAUCAGUAGCUGGUCUGAGAGGAUGAUCAGCCACAUUGGGACUGAGACACGGCCCAAACUCCUACGGGAGGCAGCAGUGGGGAAUAUUGGACAAUGGGCGCAAGCCUGAUCCAGCCAUGCCGCGUGAGUGAUGAAGGCCCUAGGGUUGUAAAGCUCUUUUGUGCGGGAAGAUAAUGACGGUACCGCAAGAAUAAGCCCCGGCUAACUUCGUG